rnacentral:lncRNA from 1 species
AUGCAAACUGGCAGAAGGCCACGGACACUGUGCCCGAAGGUCCGCAUCAAAAAGGAGUUAAAAAGAAAAAAAAAGAUGGGGUGGGGGUGGGGGGGGAUUUCCUUUUACCUUUUCUCUUCACGUGGUGUGAGGGUUUGGGAGUGGGCACUGGCGGGCGGGCGAGCUCGCUGGGAGGAACAGUUAUUGUGCCUACGGCCCGAGCUGACGCUCCUCACAGCCGCCACUUUCCUCGGACUCUCCGAAGUUGUGCCAUGUGCUGAGGGGCCGCGCUCUGCAGCUCCCCUGAAUUCGGCUCCCCGCCCGGCCCGGCCUGACAGAACGGAGAACGGCAGCGCGGCCCCACGCCCCCACACAAAGGCUUACGCCGCCGCCCGGCCGGUACGCAACUUUCCCUGCCCCGCGGCGAACAACGGCCGCCCGCCCCUCCCGCCUGACAGUGCCUUUCGCGCCGCUCCCCCGCAAAGUUUGCGGCCGGCCUCCUCGGGCCGGGAACGCCCGCCAGCCGCUGAGGGGCCGGGGGUAGGCGGGCGGCGAGGCGCGGGCCGGCCCCGCUGCGCGCCGUCCAACUUGGGGCGCCCCGUGACAGCCAUGUUGGGGUCAGCCCCCAGGCUCCCGCGAGGCUGGGCUCCGGGAGCGGGACGGAGCGCCCAGGGCACGGGCGGAGCAGAGCCCCGCGAACAAAGAACUUCUCGCCCCGCCGGAGCGGGGCGAGAGGAGAAAAGAAAAAGAGGGAGAAGCAGCCCCCGCCGCCCCGCGUCGGGACGACCUCCCGCCCCGUCCUGUCCCGUCCCCGCGCUAGCUCCGCACGGCCCGAGCCGAGAAGGAAAUAAAAACACCGCGCCGAGGAUUCACUUUUGCCCUGGCACUUCGAGCUGCCCUGAGCGACGGACUUCCAGGAAAGUUUCACCUAAGCUACCAGACUCCACAAAAUAGCGCUUUCGGGACAAAACAUUAGCGCAUGGCAGAGGGUGAAGAUCAGUGGGACAUAUUCUACAGCCCUUAUUCGGUUGCAUCUCUGUGUUUUACUGCCUAAGUCUGGGAGACAUCAGAGAGGAAGCUUCUUUCAGCCAGAAAAGAUGAAUAAAGACUUCAAAAAAUGGCCCUAUACUUGGUCU